CAUGUAGGCGGAUUAAUAAGUUUUAAGUGAAAUCCUAUAGCUUAACUAUAGAACUGCUUUGAAAACUGUUAAUCUAGAAUGUGGGAGAGGUAGAUGGAAUUUCUGGUGUAGGGGUAAAAUCCGUAGAGAUCAGAAGGAAUACCGAUUGCGAAGGCGAUCUACUGGAACAUUAUUGACGCUGAGAUGCGAAAGCGUGGGGAGCAAACA
rnacentral:rRNA from 1 species